AAUCCAUGAUGUGGCCAUUGUCUGAGCAUAUUAUUGUAUCUAUCCCAUGCUUCAAAUAAAGAUUCGGAGUCGAAUUUUCUGAAGUUUGCAAUAAGAUUUCUUAUAUGAGCU